rnacentral:rRNA from 1 species
CUUUCUUCUAAAUAGAGACUUGUAUGAACGGUCAAAUGAGGGCCUAACUGUCUCCUGUAGCUAAUCAAUGAACUUGAGCUUACAGUACAAACACUGUAAUACAACUAUAAGACGAGAAGACCCUGUGGAGCUUAAAGCUACUACAUUAACUUAAUACCGCGACCAUUAUGAGUAUAAUGUAAACUUUAAGUUGGGGCGACUAUGGAGUAAAAAAAACCCUCCAUGCAACACGACUAAAACUCGCCAUUCUAGGCCAACAAGCCAAUCCAAAAAGACCCAGUAAAACUGACUAUCGAACCAAGUUACCCCAGGGAUAACAGCGCCAUCCCCUUAAAGAGUUCACAUCGCCAAGGGGGUUU